CAACCUUUUCAGCAUGUCUCCGGGACGAUGGGUACUCUGUGGGGACCGCCGGUGUUAAAUCGGAGGAAGGUGCGGGCCACGGUAGGUCAGUAUGCCCCGAAUUUCCCGGGCUACACGCGGGCUACAAUGAAUGGGACAAUGGGUCCCUACCCCGAAAGGGGCUGGUAAUCUCACAAACCCAUCCGUAGUUCGGAUCGAGGGCUGUAACUCGCCCUCGUGAAGCUGGAAUCCGUAGUAAUCGCGUUUCAAUAUAGCGCGGUGAAUACGUCCCUGCUCCUUGCACAA
rnacentral:rRNA from 1 species